CGGCCCUAAGUGGGACUUCUAGGACCUAUUUAACAGCUGCGUCAGACUAAAAAUGUUAACAUUUUUUUUUACUAAUUAUCUUUUGCUGUUUGGGAUGCUUUGGAACGGUUGCUAAGGAGCCUUGGCCCACACGACCGGAACUGCUGCAACCUUCGCUGGAAUGCGGAGCCCCGCUUUGCCCCCAAGUUUACGGUGCUUCCAGCAUUACUCCUCCCUACAACAAAAUCCCUUCAAACCGAACCCCCCGCUCCGGAGGACUUUAAAAACUGCAGGACUUCACCCUCUCCAUCACGAAGCCAAGGGAAAUCUGACCAAAAGGAUUUUCUUCCCAAAGGCGAAUACAUGAGAGCGCCGGCGGCGUGGGGGCCAUUGCCUUUUGUCAUUACGUAACUGUCACGACUCAGAACGGGGCAGAAAACUUACUUCCUAAGUGUCACAGCAAGACCAUAUGCUCGGCGACCACGUGGCCUAACGGAUAAGGCGUCUGACUUCGGAUCAGAAGAUUGAGGGUUCGAAUCCCUUCGUGUCCUCAGGAGCCUUUGGAUCUCUGCUGAUCUAUGACAAGUGUACUUCAGAAGGAUUUUCCAGGUAUGAAAAGUCACAAUCCCAGUCACUGGAUUUGAACAUGUUAGAAAGAUCUUAACCACUUGAUCUUAAAGAACUUGGUUCCCAUGAACCUUAAUAAGGAAACGUUGGUUAUAUGAUUUUUUUAAACAAUUAACUUGUCUGGUCUCUACCUCAGUUUUCUCAUCUGUAAAAUAGAGACAGGUGAUGGGGGGGGUGGGAAUUUUCAGAGAGAUCAUCUUUACGGUCCCUUCAAAUUUUGUUAUUCUACACCGUGCACUCAGCCGUUUGCUAUAGUUUACUAUUAGGUGAAAAGAGGGAACUGGUGAGAUUUUAUGGUAUUAUUAUGGUAUUAAGAUAUAAGUGGCAGAAGAUGAUCAAAGAAGGAAGAAACUAAUAGAGACUGGAACACCUGGAAAAGAUCUUCGAUUAAAUUCAUUCAUGUAAAAUACAAAGAGGAGAGUGAUGCUUUCUUUCAUCUGAGGAUUCACAGAAAAGGUACAUUUGAUGUGGGUCUUGCAAGAGGAUUUUGCAGCAAGGGAGCAGAGACUCUCCAGGCAGACGGAACUACUUGAGCAAAAGCAGAGCAUGUGAACAGCUUCUGCUCCUGAAGACAGGGACCAGUGGUCAGAUAAAACUGGAGUUUGAUGAAGAGUUUGGGAGGAUAGGGAGUGAUAAGGGGUAAAGAGGGAGCGUCUUGGACCUGAAUUUAAGAGGCAAAAAAAAAAAAAAAAAAAAUCAACAAAAACUGCCGAGACAGGGAACCAAAGCUGGGGAGCGGGUGGGAGCAGGGAGUGAAGAGAAGCGAAUGGCCCGUGGUUCUCAGCCCAAGAAACCCAUCAGAAUCACCUGUGGCCCCUGCAGCCACGCCUGGACGUCACCCUCGGAGAUACUGAUUUAACUGUGCCGAGGGGUGGAGGAAAGGUGGACAUCUUGAGAAAACUCCCUAGUUGCUUAUAAUUUGCUACCAGUGUUAGGAACGCAGGCAGGAAGAUGGGCUGGGUGGGGAGGCGGUCAACAAGCGUAACGGAAGUCAGAGGGCCAGAAAUCAGUUUUUGACAA